CAAACCGUCUCUUUUCUUUUUUUUUAAUGGAAUGAUACAGAAAAAAAUUUGCAUGGUCCUUGCACAAGGACGGCAGGCAUAUUUUUGAAACUCAUUAAAAUUAG